UUUCCGUAGGUGAACCUGCGGAAGGAUCAUUAUUGAAUAAACCUGAUGUGGUUGUAGCUGGCCCUUUCGGGAGCAUGUGCACACCCGUCGUCUUUAUCUUUCCACCUGUGCACCUUUUGUAGACCUGGAUGUAACACUUUCCGAGGCAACUCGGUCGGGAAGAAUGCUGUCAGCUUUCCUUGAAUGUCCAGGCCUAUGUUUUCAUAUACUCCAAAGAAUGUAACAGAAUGUAUUAUUGGGCCUUGUGCCUAUAAACUAUAUACAACUUUCAACAACGGAUCUCUUGGCUCUC
rnacentral:misc_RNA from 1 species